rnacentral:lncRNA from 1 species
AGGUGUAGUAGUAAUUUCGUGAAGAGGAUAAACUUAUGGGCCAUAGUUAAGUGAAGUAAGAGACUUAGGUUGAUAUUUCUAUUUGAUGGACUAGUAUAAUAUGCAGCAUGCUUCAUCGGUGUUACUUGAUUGGUGCUAGACAAUAGGCUUAAACUUUAGGUAUGGAUUGUGGUGGUAAGAAUAGUAGCUUAAGGUUAAUGAUGCAUAUUUUGUGGGAGUAAGUAGUAGGCUUGAUUUGAUGUGUGCAAUAUCCUAGGUUGGAAACUAGUGAAAAAAAGAGUGGAUAAUUGUGAUAUUUACAUAUAUGAGACUAGGGUUAGGACGAUGAAUCGUGGUUGAGUCGUUAAGUGGAUAAGAGCGUGGGUAUAUAAGAAUAAGUUAGACCCCCCCCCCCC